rnacentral:lncRNA from 1 species
GAAAAUUGGGAGAGCAUAAUGCAACGCUUGAAUGCCUACAAAAGGCGAUUCAAGGUGAAGAACGAGUCGGACUGGCCGGACGAGCUAUACAAGACGGCAAUGGAAGUUUACUCUACGGAUAAUGGUAAUGCCACGGAGCAGGACAAAUCAGAGAAGAAGCAGCUGCAACAGCAGCAGCAGCGCUGGGUAAGCUGAGCGUUCAUGUUGCCCAUCAGAUGAAUAUACCAGCAGUAACAGCACCAGCACCAGCAGCAGCACCUGUAACUGUAGCAGCCGUGCAGGCAGCUGUUAAAUAUUCAAAAAACAUCCUCCGAAUCGGCUUUAACUUUAAAGGAGGAUGAGGAAGUUGUUGAGAAAUUGAGUUUUUCGUCGAGCGGCUUUGGUGAGAGUACAGAGGAGAGUGCUUCAUCUGGUAUUGGGACCUCUGCCUACGAUCCUUCUGCCUCCUCGGAUCCACUGGAAAAUAAUGAUGAUGAUGACGAGGACACCGACUGGGAGGACUAUGGAAAUGAGGACGAGGACUCGACCGAUGAUUCUAGGACAUGAGACAGCUUUAAGCUGGUCAAGCGGCCACUCCAAGAGAGCAGUUCCAGCUAUGAAAGCGAUGACAGCGAUGAUGACUGCUGAAAACGAACCAUGUGGCCGCACACAUAUCACAAUUUCCCGAGGAAGAAGAUUAAGCACACAAAAAAACAAACAACAAUGAAGAAAACUGAAAACGGAGCAAGUUCCCAGAGGCUGCAUCAGUCUUGCCCUCUCACUGUUUAGACUUCAACGAAUGUUAACUCUACUUUAACGACACUAACUACACUUUUUGAAAUGUUAACUGAAACUUAA